UACGAAGGGGGCUAGCGUUGCUCGGAAUCACUGGGCGUAAAGCGCACGUAGGCGGCUUUCUAAGUCAGGGGUGAAAUCCUGGAGCUCAACUCCAGAACUGCCUUUGAUACUGGAGAGCUUGAGUCCGGGAGAGGUGAGUGGAACUCCGAGUGUAGAGGUGAAAUUCGUAGAUAUUCGGAAGAACACCAGUGGCGAAGGCGGCUCACUGGCCCGGUACUGACGCUGAUGUGCGAAAGCGUGGGGAGCAAACAGG
rnacentral:rRNA from 1 species